rnacentral:rRNA from 1 species
UAACAGUUGGAAACGACUGCUAAUACCGCAUACGCCCUACGGGGGAAAGCAGGGGACCUUCGGGCCUUGCGCGAUUGGAUAUGCCCAGGUGGGAUUAGCUAGUUGGUGAGGUAAUGGCUCACCAAGGCNACNAUCCCUAGCUGGUCUGAGAGGAUGAUCAGCCACACUGGAACUGAGACACGGUCCAGACUCCUACGGGAGGCAGCAGUGGGGAAUAUUGCACAAUGGGGGAAACCCUGAUGCAGCCAUGCCGCGUGUGUGAAGAAGGCCUUCGGGUUGUAAAGCACUUUCAGCGAGGAGGAAAGGUCAGUAGCUAAUAUCUGCUGGCUGUGACGUUACUCGAAGAAGAAGCACCGGCUAACUCCGUGCCAGCAGCCGCGGUAAUAC